rnacentral:rRNA from 1 species
AGAGCACCGACCGCCCACUGCGUGCCUUAUCUCAUCGCCAUUCCUCUCCUUCUCUUAUCCAAAUAGCCAUUCCUCCUCAUCCUAACCCAGCUCCGGCGCUCUUCCUCUUCUCCGUCCAACCCAGCCAAAAUAGCGACACGUGCGCGGGGCCGCGGUGGCUGGCCAGGAAGCACUCCCUAAUCGGCGAGGAACCCAGAGGACGCCGUGGCUGGCGCCUUGGAGCUGCUCUGCCGUCGGCCUGAUCUGGCCGUCCGCCCCAGUCGCCGGCCCCGUGCUCCGGAUCAGGCCAGCAGCCUCGCCUCCGACCCGAUUCGAACCGCACAACCUUCGCCACCUCCGCCAUGCCCCAGAGGUUCGGCUGAUCCCGCGUCGCUCAUUCUCCCUUCUUUCUCUGCUCGCGGCUCGCGUUGACUUCGAGAGGCCAUAGGCCUCGUCCAGCCGCAUCCUCUCACUGCCUUGCUCCUCCACCACCACUCCUCCCCUUCUUCCUCCCCUUCCUGCCAGCCAGGGCACUCUCCCUCUCCCACCUCCCUUCGCCGCAGGACUCCAUGAGGAGUGCGCGGAUGCGGGUGUCUUGGCCAGUAGCAACAGUUGCGGCAGUUCCGCGCCGGGAGAAGCCUCGCACUGGGCGAUGUGGAGGACGACGACCUGCUGCUUCCUCAGUCGCGCGUCCUCCUCCGCGUCGUGGAGAGACGGCCAUGGCCGGCCGAUGCCCGAGCGUCGCCGGCCAAGGACCCGCCGGCGUCCAGACCCCCACCACGCCAUUCCCAUCUCGCCUAGACCUGCACAAGUCCCAUCUAGUGCCCGCGCCAUUCUUCGGCCCCCGGCCCGCAGCUCUGCAGCCCGAUCUCUUCAGCCGCCUCACGUCCAAAGCAGAGGAGAGGAGCUCCCUGCGACGAGCCUCUCCAGCGCCCAGCAAACCACCAGGCCGUCCCAGCCUCCUUCUCGCUUCGGCAUGAACGCACGGCCGUCGCGACGGCUCGCCGCAUUCCUGGCCUCGGGCGGCGCGGACGCCCGCUGCGACGCAUCACCCCUUCCUUGGCUCCUGCGGCGUGGACGCCAAUGGCAAGCGGCAGCGCUUGCCCGGCGGUGGAGAACGCAAAUGGAUAAGCGGUGCAGGGGUGUUUUUUGCAAAAACGAAGCGUUUUCUCGGAUACCCACUUAAAAUAGGACUGCGGGUUGAAUACUCAGAAACGGAGGUUUUUUUUUGCAAAAGUGACGACAACGUACGACCAGAAGCACUCCGUGCUUUAUUAGUAGGGAAAGAUUAUUAUUAUUAUUAUUAUUACUAGCACAAACGCCCGUGCGUUGCAUCGGGUGAAAAAAAAACCCACACUUCCCUAACCCAAUUGCUCAAGACCCCCUCUCAUUCCACGACACAACGCCAGGCAUGAUGGGAUGAAUAAACUCUUUGAAAUCGGCUGCCAUGAAAAUAUAUAUUGUAGAAAAAAUAUGCAUGUAUUUCGGUUUUCAG